GCCGAAUUGACCAGGGCAACCGGGGCUUCUGAAUCCAGAAGAGGGUCUUUGGAGCCUUUGGUCGGGGUUCGAAUCCCUGCUCGGCA
rnacentral:tRNA from 1 species